AGAGUUUGAUCCUGGCUCAGGAUGAACGCUGGCGGCGUGCUUAACACAUGCAAGUCGAACGAAGCACCUUAUUUGAUUUUCUUCGGAACUGAAGAUUUGGUGAUUGAGUGGCGGACGGGUGAGUAACGCGUGGGUAACCUACCCUGUACAGGGGGAUAACAGUCAGAAAUGACUGCUAAUACCGCAUAAGACCACAGCACCGCAUGGUGCAGGGGUAAAAACUCCGGUGGUACAGGAUGGACCCGCGUCUGAUUAGCUGGUUGGUGAGGUAACGGCUCACCAAGGCGACGAUCAGUAGCCGGCUUGAGAGAGUGAACGGCCACAUUGGGACUGAGACACGGCCCAAACUCCUACGGGAGGCAGCAGUGGGGAAUAUUGCACAAUGGGGGAAACCCUGAUGCAGCGACGCCGCGUGAGUGAAGAAGUAUCUCGGUAUGUAAAGCUCUAUCAGCAUGGAAGAAAAUGACGGUACCUGACUAAGAAGCCCCGGCUAACUACGUGCCAGCAGCCGCGGUAAUACGUAGGGGGCAAGCGUUAUCCGGAAUUACUGGGUGUAAAGGGUGCGUAGGUGGUAUGGCAAGUCAGAAGUGAAAACCCAGGGCUUAACUCGGGGACUGCUUUUGAAACUGUCAGACUGGAGUGCAGGAGAGGUAAGCGGAAUUCCUAGUGUAGCGGUGAAAUGCGUAGAUAUUAGGAGGAACAUCAGUGGCGAAGGCGGCUUACUGGACUGAAACUGACACUGAGGCACGAAAGCGUGGGGAGCAAACAGGAUUAGAUACCCUGGUAGUCCACGCCGUAAACGAUGA
rnacentral:rRNA from 1 species